rnacentral:rRNA from 1 species
GACGAACGCUGGCGGCGUGCCUAAUACAUGCAAGUCGAACGCAUUUUCUUUCACCGUAGCUUGCUACACCGAAAGAAAAUGAGUGGCGAACGGGUGAGUAACACGUGGGUAACUUGCCCAUCAGCGGGGGAUAACACUUGGAAACAGGAGCUAAUACCGCAUACUUCCAUUUACCGCAUGGUAUAUGGAUGAAAGGCGCUUUUGCGGCCCUGAUGGAUGGACCCGGGGUGCAUUGGCUAGUUGGGGGGGUAACGGGCUACCAAGGCUGCGAUGCAUAGCCGGCCUGGGAGGGUGAUCGGCCACACCUGGACUGGGACACGGCCCAGACGCCUACGGGAGGCAGCAGUAGGGAAUCUUCGGCAAUGGACGCAAGGCUGACCGAGGAACGCCGCGUGAGUGAAGAAGGGUUUCGGAUCGUAAAACUCUGUUGUUAGAGAAGAACAAGGAUGAGAGUGGAAAGUUCAUCCCUUGACGGUAUCUAACCAGAAAGCCACGGCUAACUACGUG